rnacentral:rRNA from 1 species
AAGGUAGCACAAUCACUUGUUCUUUAAAUAAGGACUAGUAUGAACGGCAUCACGAGGAUUAAACUGUCUCCCCCACCUAAUCAAUGAAACUGACCUCCCCGUGAAGAAGCGGGGAUAAACAUAUAAGACGAGAAGACCCUAUGGAGCUUUAAACCUAACACCACUCACCUAGACCCAUUUCAUAAAAAACAGGUGAAGCUCGUGCACGUUUUCAGUUGGGGUGACUGCGGAGCAAAAUAAAACCUCCACGAUGUAAUCCUCUAAUCCAAGAACAACAAUUCAAAGAAUCAACAAAUUGACAUUAAUUGACCCAAAUAAUAAUUUGAUCAACGAACCAAGUUACCCUAGGGAUAACAGCGCAAUCCACUUCAAGAGCUCAUAUCGACAAGUGGGUUUACGACCUCGAUGUUGGAUCAGGGUAUCCCAGUGGUGCAGCCGCUACUAA